UCCCGGGUGGCUCAGAUGGUAAAGAAUCUGCCUGUAAUGCAGGAGACCUGGGUUUGAUUCCUGGGUUGGGAA
rnacentral:tRNA from 1 species